rnacentral:rRNA from 1 species
CCUACGGGGGGCUGCAGUGGGGAAUAUUGCACAAUGGGGGAAACCCUGAUGCAGCGACGCCGCGUGAGUGAUGAAGUAUUUCGGUAUGUAAAGCUCUAUCAGCAGGGAAGAUAAUGACGGUACCUGACUAAGAAGCUCCGGCUAAAUACGUGCCAGCAGCCGCGGUAAUUCGUAUGGAGCAAGCGUUAUCCGGAUUUACUGGGUGGAAAGGGAGCGCAGACGGCAGGGCAAGUCUGAUGUGAAAGUCCGGGGCUCAACCCCGGGACUGCAUUGGAAACUGUCCGGCUAGAGUGCAGGAGAGGUAAGUGGAAUUCCUAGUGUAGCGGUGAAAUGCGUAGAUAUUAGGAGGAACACCAGUGGCGAAGGCGGCUUACUGGACUGUAACUGACGUUGAGGCUCGAAAGCGUGGGGAGCAAACAGGAUUAGAUACCCGGGUAGUC